rnacentral:misc_RNA from 1 species
AAGUCGUAACAAGGUUUCCGUAGGUGAACCUGCGGAAGGAUCAUUACUGAAUAAACCUGGCAGGUUGUUGCUGGCUCUUCCGGGAGCAUGUGCACACCGGUCAAUUUUAUCUUACCACCUGUGAACACUUUGUAGAUUUGGAGGCAUCUUCACGGACUUUGUCUGUGGUUUUUGGAAGUUGUCGUGCCUCUGUGCGCGGCUCUUCCUGGCCUUCAGGUCUAUGUUUUUACAUCUACUCCAUAGCAUGUAAAUGAACGAAUCAAUGGCAGCUUUUAUGCAGCCUAUAAAACUUGUACAACUUUCAGCAACGGAUCUCUUGGCUCUC